UGGGAGCUGAGCCACCAUGGAGAGCAUCCCCUGUGGUGGGAUCAGAUCCACCAUUGGGACUACCCCCUGAGGUGGGAGCUGACCCCCAUUAUAGGGCAUUGCCCCAAGGGGCAGCUCAACCAUAGUUUGGGGCAUUGCCCCAGGUGGCAGCUGAGCCACAACUGGGGGCAUUGCCCCAGGUGGCAGCUGAAGCACAGUUUGAGGCAUCGCCCCAGGUGGCAGCUGCGCUCCCUGUCCCUGCACACCCGGUACCCCCGGCUGGACAGAGGCCUGAGGCACCAUGGAGGUGACAUUGGGGGCAGGGAUGGGCUGGAAGGAUACGGGCACUGCUCCGCCAAUGGUGGUCUGCAUCGCAGCAGUGGCCGGUGGGGGCACAAAGAUCCAAAUAAAGUUGCGUCGGGUGUCGGAAGCACCGUCAGCGAUGAAGGAAUUCUCUCUGUGGGGAAAUGCCCAAAUGGGCGCCGGGGUGAGAUGUGGGGCACUGGGAUCCCCUGGAGGGCCGCAGUGCCAGGAGCAGGAGGAGCCUGCUGCCUUACCUGCCGUGGCAGCUCGAGAGUGGCAGUGGGGGGUUCCGUGAGCGCUGGGGUCAGCCCCUCUGCCCUGAGCUCACAGUGCCCCUCUGUGACGCUGUCCCGUGGUGUCACAGGCACUGCUCUGUGCCUGCCAUGUCAUCAACUUGCUGUGGCUGCAGCCGUGCUGGUGACAGCAUGGGACGAGUGUGGGGAGCUAUGGCCUCUGCCCAUCUCAUACUCUUCCUCCUGAUGGCCACAACUUGCUAUAAGUUCACUGCUGCUCCGUGGCGAGCACCAGGAGCAGGUGGGUGAGCAAAACGGAGCGGCACGGGGGGCACGAAGUCACUGCAAGGACAGAGCCUUUGGGGCUCCCCCUCCC
rnacentral:lncRNA from 1 species